rnacentral:lncRNA from 1 species
GCCCGCUGAUGAAAAAUAACAGAUGAUUUCAUGCAUGCAUUUCAAAACUUUUAUAGUCAAAAUAAAUAAGAUUAAACUUUUUAAUCUUAUCAUGCAUUAGAUUGAAUCUAAAACAACCUAUGCUAGGAUCAAUGACAUGACAUAAUAUGCAUACAAAUUCUGAAAUUAAAAACUCAUAGAUCAAAUCUAUGUGAUCAUAUCAAUAUUGCAGAUCAUAUCUACUAUGUACUUGAGUUCCAAACUCUAUACAUUAGUGCUGGUCGAUAUUCACCGUUGUUGAGGAACAUGGAUUUACUGGUUCUCUUUAUGGCAGUGCAGCCGCACAAUAUGCCCGGCCUCUACAGGACGUCUAUAUGAAGCCCUGAAC